rnacentral:rRNA from 1 species
UACGUAGGGUGCAAGCGUUAAUCGGAAUUACUGGGCGUAAAGCGUGCGCAGGCGGUUGUGCAAGACAGAUGUGAAAUCCCCGGGCUUAACCUGGGAAUUGCAUUUGUGACUGCACGGCUAGAGUGUGUCAGAGGGGGGUAGAAUUCCACGUGUAGCAGUGAAAUGCGUAGAGAUGUGGAGGAAUACCGAUGGCGAAGGCCAGCCCCCUGGGAUAACGACUGACGCUCAUAGCACAGAAAGCGUGGGGAGCAAACAGG